UACGGGGGGAGCAAGCGUUGUUCGGAUUUACUGGGCGUAAAGGGCGCGUAGGCGGCACUGCAAGUCAGUUGUGAAAUCUCCGGGCUUAACCCGGAAAGGUCAACUGAUACUGCAGGGCUAGAGUGCAGAAGGGGCAACUGGAAUUCUCGGUGUAGCGGUGAAAUGCGUAGAUAUCGAGAGGAACACCUGCGGCGAAGGCGGGUUGCUGGGCCGACACUGACGCUGAUGCGCGAAAGCCAGGGGAGCGAACGGG
rnacentral:rRNA from 1 species